rnacentral:tRNA from 1 species
GAAGCUAUAGUUCAACGGAUAGAAUAAAUCCCUUCUAAGGAUUAGAUGACAGUUCGAUUCUGUCUAGCUUCA